CAGUGUGUGGCAUCACAGAUGUCUCCAUAGAAACAGGGCAGGGUCACAUUCUUGGGGACAGGGUCUGGAAGCAGACCCAAACACUAUUCCCACUAAAUCUCAGAAUGUCGCAAGAGUAAGAGAAGCAGUCUGACCCCAGAGCCGGGAGUCCCCCUCUCUCGUUUGUCAGGGGUGGGGUGCGCAUGACUCCCUCAACCUGGAUCUGACUUCCGGAGUCUAAUGUCAGAAGGUUCAUUGUCAGCAUGUUUAAAACACAGUACAAUGUGGGAAAAGAUUUCCAGACAACCAUCAUUCCAUUUGUAAGUGAAGAAUAAAGCUUAAGGUGUGACCACAUAGAGACCCUUUUGUAACUAUGAGGGUGGGUUCUAUAGCUAAAAGGCCUAGAAUCUAGUGUGACCCUUGACCCAUAGCGUAGAAGACCAUAAAAUGUAUAUGGUGUCUCCCCUAAAGAUGGGUUUAACUGGAAGCUUCAGAUAAAGGUCUAGGGAGGGAAGAGUCUAGAAUAAUCAUUCUGGGGGACUUGAGUGACAUCUACCUCUAUAGACAAAGGUUUGGGAGGUCUGCCUCUAAAGAUAUCAGAAAGGUCACCGGGUCACCAGGCACCAAAUACGCAUAUAUGCUGAAUAUACAUUCAUGAAGUCAAAGCAGCUACACAGCAUAAAGUACAAACUCACAAAUUGUCUGACCUCCGGUGUUUACUCUGGUCUUUUAAAUCUGGCCUAACUGCAAACUUGCGGUCACAACAACACUCAGACUUCCAGCUGGGUUGCAGAAAUAUGAAGCCAUGGCUGAUACAGAAGCUUCAAUCCAUUGCUGUUAUAGAAGGCCUUAUCUUGGGACAGACAUCUAAGCUUAAUAAAUGAAUCCGAACUGCA